rnacentral:rRNA from 1 species
UACGGGGGGGGUAAGCGUUGUUCGGAAUUACUGGGCGUAAAGCGUGCGCAGGCGGUUUGCUAAGACAGGUGUGAAAUCCCCGGGCUUAACCUGGGAACUGCGCUUGUUACUGGCAGGCUUGAGUGUGGCAGAGGGGGGUGGAAUUCCACGUGUAGCAGUGAAAUGCGUAGAGAUGUGGAGGAACACCGAUGGCGAAGGCAGCCCCCUGGGCUAACACUGACGCUCAUGCACGAAAGCGUGGGGAGCAAACAGG